GAUGAACGCUGGCGGCGUGCCUAAUACAUGCAAGUCGAGCGAACGGACGAGGCUCUUGCUUUUUUGAUGUUAGCGGCGGACGGGUGAAUAACACGUGUAUACCCUACCUAUAAGACUGGGAUCACUUCGGGAAACCGGAUCUUAUACCGGAUGAGAUUUUGAACCGCAGGGUUCAAAGGAGAAAUACGGCCUUUCUGUCUGUAAUAGAUGGAUCGGCGCUGCAUUAGCUAGUUGGUAGGGUAACGGCUUACCAAGGCUAGGAUGCGUAGCCGACAUGAUAGGGGGAUCGGCCACACGGGAGCUGAGCCACGGUCCAGACUCCUACGGGAGGCCGCAGUAGGGAAUGUUACGCAAUGGGCGAAAGCAUGACGCAGCAAGGCCGAGUGUGUGAUGAAGGUGUUCGGAUCGUAAAGCUCUGUUACUAGGGAAGAACAGCUGUGUCAGUAAAUGUGGACAUCUUGACGGUACCUAAUAAAAAAGCACCGGCUAACUACGUG
rnacentral:rRNA from 1 species